rnacentral:rRNA from 1 species
GUCUACAGCCAUAUCACCCUGAAUGCACCCAAACUCGUUUGAUCUAGGAAGCUAAGCAGGGUCAGGGCGGGUUAGUACUUGGAUAGGAGACAACUAUAUUUUUAUUUCUAAAAGUUCUAAUUGGUCC